UACAGAGGGGGCAAGCGUUGUUCGGAAUUACUGGGCGUAAAGGGCUCGUAGGUGGCCAACUAAGUCAGACGUGAAAUCCCUCGGCUUAACCGAGGAACUGCGUCUGAUACUGGAUGGCUUGAGUUUGGGAGAGGAAUGCGGAAUUCCAGGUGUAGCGGUGAAAUGCGUAGAUAUCUGGAGGAACACCGGUGGCGAAGGCGGCAUUCUGGACCAAUACUGACACUGAAUCGCGAAAGCUAGGGGAGCAAACGGG
rnacentral:rRNA from 1 species